rnacentral:rRNA from 1 species
GUAGGUGGCAAGCGUUGUCCGGAAUUAUUGGGCGUAAAGCGCGCGCAGGCGGUUCUUUAAGUCUGAUGUGAAAGCCCACGGCUCAACCGUGGAGGGUCAUUGGAAACUGGAGAACUUGAGUACAGAAGAGGAAAGCGGAAUUCCACGUGUAGCGGUGAAAUGCGUAGAGAUGUGGAGGAACACCAGUGGCGAAGGCGGCUUUCUGGUCUGUAACUGACGCUGAGGCGCGAAAGCGUGGGGAGCAAACAGGGAUUAGAUACCCUGGCAGUCCACGCCGUAAACGAUGAGUGCUAAGUGUUAGGGGGUUUUCCGCCCCCCUUAGUGCUGCAGCUAACGCAUUAAGCACUCCGCCUGGGAGUACGGCCGCAAGGCUG